AUUGAACGCUGGCGGCAGGCCUAACACAUGCAAGUCGAACGAGUGGCGGACGGGUGAGUAAUGUCUUGGAAACUGCCCGAUGGAGGGGGAUAACUACUGGAAACGGUAGCUAAUACCGCAUACCAUCGGAUGUGCCCAGAUGGGGUUAGCUAGUAGGUGGGGUAACGGCUCACCUAGGCGACGAUCCCUAGCUGGUUUGAGAGGAUGACCAGGCAUACUGGAACAGAGACACGGUCCAGACGCCUACGGGUGGCAGCAGUGGGGAAUAUUGCACACUGGGCGCAAGCCUGAUGCAGCCAGGCCGCGUGUAUGAAGAAGGCCUUCGGGUUGUAAAGUACUUUCAGCGAGGAGGCGUUACUCGCAGAAGAAGCACCGGCUAACUCCGUGCCAGCAGCCGCGGUAAUAC
rnacentral:rRNA from 1 species